AAAGUGUGUGAGAUCUAUACGAAGGUAGCAUGCUUUGGUCGCAGAGAAUAGGCCCAAACGACUGUUUAGCAAAAACACAGGUCUCUGCUAAGUCGAAAGACGAAGUAUAGGGGCUGACACCUGCCCGGUGCUGGAAGGUUAAGGGGACAUGUUAGCUUAGGCGAAGCAUUGAACUUAAGCCCCAGUAAACGGCGGCCGUAACUAUAACGGUCCUAAGGUAGCGAAAUUCCUUGUCGGGUAAGUUCCGACCCGCACGAAAGGUGCAACGAUUUGGGCACUGUCUCAACAAUAGACCCGGUGAAAUUAUAAUACCAGUGAAGAUGCUGGUUACCUGCGACAGGACGGAAAGACCCCGUGGAGCUUUACUGUAGCUUGACAUUGGAUUUCGGUAUCGUAUGUACAGGAUAGGUGGGAGACUUGGAAGCUAGCACGCCAGUGUUGGUGGAGUCGCCCUUAGGAUACCACCCUUACGAUACUGGAGUUCUAACCAAGAGCCGUGAUCCGGUUCUGGGACACUGUCAGGUGGGCAGUUUGACUGGGGCGGUCGCCUCCCAAAGAGUAACGGAGGCGCCCAAAGGUUCCCUCAGCACGGUCGGAAAUCGUGCGAAGAGUGUAAAGGCAAAAGGGAGCUUGAUUGCGAGACAUACAGGUCGAGCAAGGACGAAAGUCGGGCUUAGUGAUCCGGCGGUACCGAGUGGAAGGGCCGUCGCUCAACGGAUAAAAGCUACCCCGGGGAUAACAGGCUUAUCUCCCCCAAGAGUUCACAUCGACGGGAGGUUUGGCACCUCGAUGUCGGCUCAUCACAUCCUGGGGCUGUAGUAGGUCCCAAGGGUUGGGCUGUUCGCCCAUUAAAGUGGUACGCGAGCUGGGUUCAGAACGUCGUGAGACAGUUCGGUCCCUAUCCGUCGCAGGCGCAGGAAAUUUGAGAGGAGCUGUCCUUAGUACGAGAGGACCGGGAUGGACACACCGCUGGUGUACCAGUUGUCAUGCCAAUGGCAUCGCUGGGUAGCUACGUGUGGCAGGGAUAAGUGCUGAAGGCAUCUAAGCACGAAGCCCCCUCAAGAUAAGAUUUCCCA
rnacentral:rRNA from 1 species